UACGUAGGUGACAAGCGUUGUCCGGAUUUACUGGGCGUAAAGAGCGCGCAGGCGGUCGUUCAAGUCGAGUGUGAAAGCCCCCGGCUCAACUGGGGAGGGUCAUUCGAUACUGAUCGACUCGAAGGCAGGAGAGGGAAGUGGAAUUCCCGGUGUAGUGGUGAAAUGCGUAGAUAUCGGGAGGAACACCAGUGGCGAAGGCGACUUCCUGGCCUGUUCUUGACGCUGAGGCGCGAAAGCGUGGGAGCGAACAGG
rnacentral:rRNA from 1 species